UAAAAUCUUAGUUACCGUGUCAUUUUGCAUACAGCUAGUAGGGACCAGUUUUUGUGUUACUUCUAGAGUUAAUACAAGAGCUUGAUUGUUUGAGGACAAGUAUUGAGAUUACAUUGACGCUCGAAAAGCAGCAGCCCAUUGGCAUCGAUUGCGCUUCGGUCGGUUAUUUCAUUCAAAUUGUACCGCGGUCGUUUUCUUUGAUCGGCGUUACGCAGCUCCGUUUUAAAUCAGUUUUGAUAUAGCAAUGCGAGUUUGUGCGCCAAAUUUUACAUGCUGCUGCCACAAAGCGAACGUGUCUAAAGCCUGUGAAUCACGUCAGCUGCGGCGCUUCACCGGCUGCCAGCGUGAAAAUUCAAUGCCAGCAAGGAGCUUGGAGACUACCUACGAAAACGGAAUAACCAUGCACCAUGUGGGUGUGCGCACCGCCUCCAAGAAACUGCUCAUAUCAGCACCCGCUCGGAUGCUUUAUCUCUGAACCUACCUCAAGUCAGCAGAGGAUGUUCCACUACAGAAAGUAAAUUCGUCGUCCCAAAUCCUCACAAGGAAACUGGACAAAAGAGAGAUCAUUGGUUUCCAAGCUACCCACACCAAGUCGUAAGAAGCUCAAGAGUCGCCUAUCCACCACCAAAGUUUACCAGGCGGACAAAUGCAAGCCUUAUACUGAAAAGCAGUGAUAGUGUACGGCAUGUUGAAGCAGUACGAAAUUGGGUCCACAAAUUGUUGCUUCUUGCUUCAUGAAUUACUCAGUUUA